UUCACCACCGGGAGAAAUAAUUGGCACAAGUCAUGCAUCCCAACAACCAAACAAUGCACUUAGGGACGCAAGGAUGCAAAAUUUGGACAAUAAUAUCAACACUAAUCCCUACCGUGUCCAAAAUCAAUAUUCGAGCAACGCUCUCUAUGACCCUUUAUUUGAGACUUGUGGCCUUGUCAUUGACCCUCACAUUAGAUUGUUUCUACAAUCAAUUGAUCCAGAAAUGCAUGGCUAUCUCAUGUUUGAUUGAAAAGUGCGUGAAUUUCUCAUGUCAACCCUCUUUAGAGUCUCUAUCUUUGUUUAAUCAAAUCAAAUUCUCAAAUAAAGGAUUGUUUAUGUGUUUUCUUUAGUUUACAUUAAGAGUUCACUAAAUGAGACCUAUCUUACCUUUCUUGUUCAAUAAACAUAAAACUGCAUAGCCCUUAUGGUACCUUAUUCA